UGCCAGCCGCCGCGGUAAUACGAAGGGGGCAAGCGUUGUUCGGAAUCACUGGGCGUAAAGCGCACGUAGGCGGAUCGUUAAGUCAGGGGUGAAAUCCCGAGGCUCAACCUCGGAACUGCCUUUGAUACUGGCGAUCUUUGAGUCCGGGAGAGGUGAGUGGAAUUCCGAGUGUAGAGGUGAAAUUCGUAGAUAUUCGGAAGAACACCAGUGGCGAAGGUGGCUAACUGGACUGAUACUGACGCUGAGGUGCGAAAGUGUGGGGAGCAAACAGGAUUAGAUA
rnacentral:rRNA from 1 species